GACGAACGCUGGCGGCGCGCCUAACACAUGCAAGUCGAACGGAAAUGAUUGAAGUUUACUUUGGUCAUUUUAGUGGCGGACGGGUGAGUAACACGUGAGCAACCUGCCUUUCAGAGGGGGGAUAACGUUUGGAAACGAACGCUAAUACCGCAUAACGUAUACGGAUGGCAUCGUCUGUAUACCAAAGGAGGAAUCCGCUGAAAGAUGGGCUCGCGUCCGAUUAGCUAGAUGGUGAGGUAACGGCCCACCACUGGCGACGAUCGGUAGCCGGACUGAGAGGUUGACCGGCCACAUUGGGACUGAGACACGGCCCAGACUCCUACGGGAGGCAGCAGUGAGGGAUAUUGGGCAAUGGGGGCAACCCUGACCCAGCGACGCCGCGUGAGGGGAAGACGGUCUUCGGAUUGUAAACCUCNGUCUUUGGGGACGAAAAAGGACGGUACCCAAGGAGGAAGCUCCGGCUAACUACGUG
rnacentral:rRNA from 1 species